rnacentral:misc_RNA from 1 species
AAGUCGUAACAAGGUUUCCGUAGGUGAACCUGCGGAAGGAUCAUUAAAGAAUGUUACCUUUUUUUGGUAUACACUUCUCAUCCCUUUGUCUACUUACUCUGUUGCUUCCAUGGUGCCAGUCAGUUUUGACUUCAGACAGGUGAUUAAUCGCAUCUGUUUGGAAGUGCCCAUGGGUAGUGUUUCCUCUAGGGGGAAUACAGUUUGAAAACCCUUGUGAUACAAUUGUCUGAAUAUAUAUAUAUGAAAAUAUAAAACUUUCAACAACGGAUCUCUAGGCUCUU